rnacentral:rRNA from 1 species
GAGUUUGAUCAUGGCUCAGGAGGNGGACCNCUUCGCACGCUGACGAGUGGCGAACGNGUGAGUAAUACAUCGGAACGUGCCCAGUCGUGGGGGAUAACUACUCGAAAGAGUAGCUAAUACCGCAUACGAUCUGAGGAUGAAAGCGGGGGACCUUCGGGCUCGCGCGAUUGGAGCGGCCGAUGGCAGAUUAGGUAGUUGGUGGGAUAAAGCUUACCAAGCCGACGAUCUGUAGCUGGUCUGAGAGGACGACCAGCCACACUGGGACUGAGACACGGCCCAGACUCCUACGGGAGGCAGCAGUGGGGAAUUUUGGACAAUGGGCGAAAGCCUGAUCCAGCAAUGCCGCGUGCAGGAUGAAGGCUUCGGGUUGUAAACUGCUUUUGUACGGAACGAAAAAGCUUCUCCUAAUACGAGAGGCCCAUGACGGUACCGUAAGAAUAAGCACCGGCUAACUACGUGCCAGCAGCCGCGGUAAUACGUAGGGUGCGAGCGUUAAUCGGAAUUACUGGGCGUAAAGCGUGCGCAGGCGGUUAUGUAAGACAGAUGUGAAAUCCCCGGGCUCAACCUGGGAACUGCAUUUGUGACUGCAUGGCUAGAGUACGGUANA